AGGGGGAUGAUGUCAUUGUUGUCAGAUAUGUUAAUCUAAAAGCAGCAUCAUUCGACUACCUGAGAAUAUGGAUGUCGAGAUAAAUAAUAUCAUGGUUUGCCAUGCAGGAGCAUCUGAUGACGUCUUGGAGCUUCUGGUUCGUGCUGGCAGAAGUCUGCCUAAAGCUAUCAUGAUGAUGAUACUUGAGGCGUGGCAAAAUGUUAAAAACAUGGAUUGUGAUACAAAGGCCUUGUACAAAUAUUUUUCAGCUCCUAUGGAGCCAUGAGAUGGACCUGCACUUAUAUCAUUUACUAAUGGCGGCUAUCUUGGAGUGACAUUGGACCAGAAUGGAUUGCGCCCCAGUCCGUUUUACAUCACACAUAUUGGACCCGUGAUCAUGGCCAGUGAGGUUGGUGUUAUAGACAUCUACCAGGAGAUGUGGCUAGGAAAGGAAGACAUCUGAUCUGUCCGAAGGGGACCUUACUGAAACAGUUCAUGUGGAAGGCUAUGUGGCAGUUCAUGUGCAUUUGUAUUUUAUUUUGAAAACUUUAAAUAGACCAUUAAUUGUUUUGUUGA